UACGUAGGUGACCAGCGUUGUCCGGAUUUACUGGGCGUAAAGAGCGCGCAGGCGGUCGUUCAAGUCGAGUGUGAAAGCCCCCGGCUCAACUGUGGAGGGUCACUCGAUACUGAUCGACUUGAAGGCAGGAGAGGGAAGCGGAAUUCCCGGUGUAGUGGUGAAAUGCGUAGAUAUCGGGAGGAACACCAGUGGCGAAGGCGGCUUCCUGGCCUGUUCUUGACGCUGAGGCGCGAAAGCGUGGGGAGCGAACAGG
rnacentral:rRNA from 1 species